AUAAAGAGGAACCUGGUUGAAAGAGGCCCCACAGUCAGGAAGGAAGCAUAACCUGACCUAUUUUCUUCCCUAAGAGAAGAAAACCUGGUAGUGUCCAAGAAACUGAACACUGGGUUCCAUCCACCUUAGGCCCUGGUAAUGGGAGGAAGGAAAAAUCAUCAAACCCAGAUCCUGAAAACAGCUAGGGUUUGGACAAGUCAGACUCGGUUGGGAGAAACGUCUGGGAAAAGGUGUGUCCCACGAAGAUUCCCUGCACACACUUCCCUCCGGAAGUUUGGUCGGCACAGCUGAACAUAGUCCAGCUCUCAAAGUCCUCCACUGGGACGUGGCCAGAAGCAUCUGGGCUACAAGAAUUCAGUGUCCUUCUGAGUGUCUUAAGAAGAGCCGAUUUGCAUCUGAAUUCUAGGAACUGUAUGAGUUUAUUCACGUCCAUCACUAGGCCCAAAGCGGCGUUGUUUUCCAUUUCUCCAGGGCCUUUUCUCCAGCCGCCCUUGCUCUCCACCCACCCCAUUCCUGCCCCCUCCCACUUUCUCUAGACAUGAAGAUGGUCUCCUGCCU
rnacentral:lncRNA from 10 species